rnacentral:miRNA from 1 species
GGACUCGUUUACUCGAAUUGGU